rnacentral:tRNA from 1 species
AUAGCAGUAGCUCAGAUGGAUAGAGCACCUCUUCCCGCCAGGGAUUCAAUCGAGAGGCGGUCGCCGGUUCGAGUCCGGCCUGCUGUCCCA